AAUAAAGGUCUCUCAAUGUUCACUAAGAUUUUAAAUUUAUUGAAUUGUGGAGAUCCAGAUGUUUCCAUUGCAUACUGGCAGUUUUUCCUGUGAGUUUGAAAUAGUGACACCAAGUCUUGUUUCUAGUCAAAAUUCUCUUGAGAACUAUAUCACCCCUCAGCAUAAUAGUGUACCAAGUAUUCAUUUUUCCUUCUGAUUGUCCAACAAAUAGAUAUGGAACCCAUUAGCAAUCCAUCUUAUAGAUCCAAGUUCCCGCAUUGCUGAAUGCAGAGAGCUAAUGUUCACAUUCAUCUCCACAACAACUGAACAAAUAAUCUACUCUGAGAUCUGUUUUCACACGAAUGCAUCAAUUUGUUCAACAUUUUCGGCUAUUCAAAUAUGUAUUUAUCUGGGAUGUAGGAUGUUGACAUACAUUGUAUGUUUUGCAGCAGACAGCAAAGAUGACAAUACAAACUGAAUUCAAUGAUUAUCCUGAUCAGGAUGAUUAUUAUGUGUGUCAAAGACGAUGAUGACAAAUUAUCAUCUUUGAUAUACAUGCUACACCAUAAACAAUUAUCAUUCACCUCUAGAUAUCUACUGGUUUACAGUAGAUCUACCAAUUCAAAAACAAUCACUGCCCUUUGGAUAGAUAUGCAACAUAAUGUUAACAAGAUCAAUCUUCAAAAUUUGAUGAUCUUUGGCAUCACAUAUGAUGUCAAAGAUUUCAGAUUUUUCCGAUAGUCAGAAAUUAAUAGUGCAAACCAGUCUAAGAGCCAUAAACAAAGCUAUUGCAAUACCACAAACAGGUCUCAGUUGAAUGACCGUCAGCUUCAAAAUAUGAAUAAAAUAUAAUUGCAUAAAGUUUUUAGUGUGUGUCAGAAAAU
rnacentral:lncRNA from 1 species